GUUUGAUCAUGGCUCAGAUUGAACGCUGGCGGAAUGCUUUACACAUGCAAGUCGAACGGCAGCACGGGAGCUUGCUCCUGGUGGCGAGUGGCGAACGGGUGAGUAAUAUAUCGGAACGUAUCCAAUAAUGGGGGAUAACUAAGCGAAAGCUUGGCUAAUACCGCAUACGCCCUGAGGGGGAAAGCUAGGGAUCUUCGGACCUGGCGUUGAUGGAGCGGCCGAUAUCUGAUUAGCUAGUUGGUGGGGUAAAGGCCCACCAAGGCGACGAUCAGUAGCUGGUCUGAGAGGACGACCAGCCACACUGGAACUGAGACACGGUCCAGACUCCUACGGGAGGCAGCAGUGGGGAAUUUUGGACAAUGGGCGCAAGCCUGAUCCAGCCAUUCCGCGUGAGUGAAGAAGGCCUUCGGGUUGUAAAGCUCUCUCGCAAGGGAAGAAAGAUUACGCUCUAACAUAGCGUGAUUAUGACGGUACCUUGAUAAGAA
rnacentral:rRNA from 1 species